rnacentral:rRNA from 1 species
AUUGAACGCUGGCGGCAGGCUUAACACAUGCAAGUCGAGCGGGGUGAUGGUGCUUGCACUAUCACUUAGCGGCGGACGGGUGAGUAAUGCUUAGGAAUCUGCCUAUUAGUGGGGGACAACAUCUCGAAAGGGAUGCUAAUACCGCAUACGUCCUACGGGAGAAAGCAGGGGAUCACUUGUGACCUUGCGCUAAUAGAUGAGCCUAAGUCGGAUUAGCUAGUUGGUGGGGUAAAGGCCUACCAAGGCGACGAUCUGUAGCGGGGCUGAGAGGAUGAUCCGCCACACUGGGACUGAGACACGGCCCAGACUCCUACGGGAGGCAGCAGUGGGGAAUAUUGGACAAUGGGGGGAACCCCGAUCCAGCCAUGCCGCGUGUGUGAAGAAGGCCUUAUGGUUGUAAAGCACUUUAAGCGAGGAGGAGGCUUACCUAGUUAAUACCUGGGAUAAGUGGACGUUACUCGCAGAAUAAGCACCGGCUAACUCUGUGCCAGCAGCCGCAGUAACAC